CUACAUUUUGCACCUUUAGCGACUCGGCUGCAGCCAACAGCACAGGGGAAGAAAUGGCGUUAACAUUUGGUGACGAUAACAGUGACAUCAUCCUCUACGUCUGCUCCAGGAGGAGAAGAGAGACUCCCCAGAGGGUCCGUGGUUCCUUCCCGCUGCCGCCUACACUGGCUUAAUGAGGAGCCUGCGGGAAGGGUGCCUUCCUGAGUCUCCCCCUUUGUAAUCUCCCUUUGUUCCCCCCGUGGUUUUUGGACUGCCUUACUCGAUCCUUGACCCUCACCUGGACACGGACGCUGACACUCUCUCUCGCCCUGGAUCUUCUGCCUGCCCCACGGACUGCCUUCCUGCCUUGUUCCUUCUCCUCGUUUCAACAUUUGGUAAGACUCAACAGCUAAUUAUUCACACACAUAGUCUUCCACCAUACACCCCUUCUGGAUAUUA